rnacentral:rRNA from 1 species
GAUGAACGCUGGCGGCGUGCCUAAUACAUGCAAGUCGAGCGAACAGACAAGGAGCUUGCUCCUCUGACGUUAGCGGCGGACGGGUGAGUAACACGUGGAUAACCUACCUAUAAGACUGGGAUAACUUCGGGAAACCGGAGCUAAUACCGGAUAAUAUAUUGAACCGCAUGGUUCAAUAGUGAAAGACGGUUUUGCUGUCACUUAUAGAUGGAUCCGCGCCGCAUUAGCUAGUUGGUAAGGUAACGGCUUACCAAGGCAACGAUGCGUAGCCGACCUGAGAGGGUGAUCGGCUACACUGGAACUGAGACACGGUCCAGACUCCUACGGGAGGCAGCAGUAGGGAAUCUUCCGCAAUGGGCGAAAGCCUGACGGAGCAACGCCGCGUGAAUGAUGAAGGUCUUCGGAUCGUAAAACUCUGUUAUUAGGGAAGAACAAAUGUGUAAGUAACUAUGCACGUCUUGACGGUACCUAAUCAGAAAGCCACGGCUAACUACGUG